UACGUAGGGGGCAAGCGUUGUCCGGAUUUAUUGGGCGUAAAGAGCGUGUAGGCGGCUUUACAGGUCCGUUGUGAAAACUCGAGGCUCAACCUCGAGACGCCGGUGGAAACCGUAAGGCUAGAGUCCGGAAGAGGAGAGUGGAAUUCCUGGUGUAGCGGUGAAAUGCAUAGAUAUGACCCGGAACACCGAUUGCGAAGGCAGCCCACUAAGCAAUGAUUGACGCUGAGGCACGAAAGCGUGGGGAUCAAACAGG
rnacentral:rRNA from 1 species